GACGAACGCUGGCGGCGUGCUUAACACAUGCAAGUCGAACGGUGAACCUCUUCGGAGGGGAUCAGUGGCGAACGGGUGAGUAACACGUGGGCAACCUGCCCCCGGCUCUGGGAUAACUCCAAGAAAUUGGGGCUAAUACCGGAUGUUCACCGCUUCCCGCAUGGGUGGUGGUGGAAAGGGUUUCCGGCUGGGGAUGGGCCCGCGGCCUAUCAGCGUGUUGGUGGGGUAGUGGCCUACCAAGGCGACGACGGGUAGCCGGCCUGCGAGGGUGACCGGCCACACUGGGACUGAGACACGGCCCAGACUCCUACGGGAGGCAGCAGUGGGGAAUAUUGCGCAAUGGGCGGAAGCCUGACGCAGCGACGCCGCGUGGGGGAUGACGGCCUUCGGGUUGUAAACCUCUUUCAGCAGGGACGAAGCGCAAGUGACGGUACCUGCAGAAGAAGCACCGGCCAACUACGUG
rnacentral:rRNA from 1 species